rnacentral:lncRNA from 1 species
GUCAACUCUUCUUAACUCCUCCCUUAGGCACUUCACCUCCACAAAGGCCUCGGUACAAGCCCUUUCCCUUUCCAAGGCUCUUAACCUUGUGGUCGUGGGUUCGAGCCCUACGGUGGAUGCCAAUAUUGCGAUCAAGGACUCAUGGCUCAGAUAGAUAGGAUGGAUCAUUUCUCUAUACUUGUCCGCAUGAGAUAUUGUCUGUUUUGACCAGCCCAUGGCAUCGGACCUUACAGUUUUACCCUUUAAAAAGUACCUCACCAAGGGAAGAGAUGGCUUCGAUCCUAUAUAAGCCAAAAUCCUUCUCG